rnacentral:sRNA from 1 species
UGCUGGGGCCGACUCCCAAACGGGGCUGUCGAGGCCCGGUUGGCUUUCAGAGGCGUAUCCAUGGGAGUAGGUGUCAUGUAUCAAAUAGGAGAUUCAAAGUCAGCUGUUACCACGGCUACAGAAAUGCCAGUCUUUUCCUAAGAGUGCGAAUGGACACACACAUGUGCAUACGUGCACACAUGUCCCCACACAUGCACCCUCAGGCUCUCACGGAGCCCUGGGUGCCUACAGCAGGACGUCCAGGACGGGAACACCACAGUGCACUACGCCCUCCUCAGCGCCUCCUGGGCUGUGCUCUGCUACUACGCCGAAGACCUGCGCCUGAAGCUGCCCUUGCAGGAGUUACCCAACCAGGCCUCCAACUGGUCGGCUGGCCUGCUGGCAUGGCUGGGCAUCCCCAACGUCCUGCUGGAGGUUGUGCCAGACGUA